rnacentral:rRNA from 1 species
CCUGUUGGUUGUAAAGCACUUUAAGCAGUGAAGAAGACAUCAUGGUUUAUCCCCAUGACGGAUGCCUUUACCGGAAGAAUAAGCACCGGCUAACUCUGUGCCAGCAGCAGCGGUAAUACAGAGGGUGCAAGCGUUAAUCGGAAUUACUGGGCGUAAAGCGAGAGUAGGUGUCUUGAUAAGUCAGAUGUGAAAUCCCCGGGCUUAACCUGGGCACUGCAUCUGAUACUGUUAGGCUAGAAUAGGUGAGAGGAAGGUAGAAUUCCAGGUGUAGCGGUGACAUGCGUAGAGAUAUGGAGGAAUACCGAUGGCGAAGGCAGCCUUCUGGCAUCAUAUUGACACUGAGGUUCGAAAGCGUGGGUAGCAAACAGGAUUAGAUUCCCUGGUAGUCCACGCCGUAACCGAUGUCUACUAGUCGUUGGGUCCCUUGAGGAUUUAGUGUCGCAGCUAACGCAAUAAGUAGACCGCCUGGGGAGUGCGGCCGCAAGGUUAAAACUCAAAUGAAUUGACGGGGGCCCGCACAACCGGUGGAGCAUGUGGUUUAAUUCGAUGCAACGCGAAGAACCUUACCUGGUCUUGCCAUAUCUAGAAUCCUGCAGAGAUGCGGGAGUGCCUUCGGGAAUUAGAAUACAGGUGCUGCAUGGCUGUCGUCAGCUGGUGUCGUGAGAUGUUGGGUUAAGUCCCGCAUCGAGCGCAACCCUUGUCCUUAGUUACCAGCGGGUUAACCCGGGCACUCUAAGGAUACUGCCAGUGACAAACUGGAGGAAGGCGGGGAUGACGUCAAGUCAUCAUGGCCCUUACGACCAGGGCUACACACGUGCUACAAUGGUAGGUACAGAGGGCAGCUACACAGCGAUGUGAUGCGAAUCUCAAAAAGCCUAUCGUAGUCCAGAUUGGAGUCUGCAACUCGACUCCAUGAAGUAGGAAUCGCUAGUAAUCGCGGAUCAGAAUGCCGCGGUGAAUACGUUCCCGGGCCUUGUACACACCGCCCGUCACACCAUGGGAGUUGAUUGCACCAGAAGUGGAUAGCUUAACCGUAAGGAAGG